CAAAAAAUAGUUUAUAUAAAAUUAUAGUUUUGGGGACUAUAGAUAAAGUUAUUUCUUUUUUUUUGA
rnacentral:tRNA from 1 species